GUCGAGCGAAUGGAUUAAGAGCUUGCUCUUAUGAAGUUAGCGGCGGACGGGUGAGUAACACGUGGGUAACCUGCCCAUAAGACUGGGAUAACUCCGGGAAACCGGGGCUAAUACCGGAUAACAUUUUGAACCGCAUGGUUCGAAAUUGAAAGGCGGCUUCGGCUGUCACUUAUGGAUGGACCCGCGUCGCAUUAGCUAGUUGGUGAGGUAACGGCUCACCAAGGCAACGAUGCGUAGCCGACCUGAGAGGGUGAUCGGCCACACUGGGACUGAGACACUGCCCAGACUCCUACGGGAGGCAGCAGUUGGGAAUCUUCCGCAAUGGACGAAAGUCUGACGGAGCAAC
rnacentral:rRNA from 1 species